GCAGCCAGGCGCGCGCCCCCCACCCUCCUUGCGGCUGCCUCAGGUGUGGGGCUGAAUGGGAGCGCUGUCUCUGUCAGCAGGGAGUGUAGGAAAACCUACAUUCGUGGUUAAGUUAUUUGAUUACAUUCAACACAAUUGAACAUUAUGGGUCGGAGAAAUGGUAGGGAGUAGAAACAUUUCACCUCUUCCCAUGGACUGUUUCCCCUGCUCCGUACUGCCUCCCCAAUCAGCUUGCCCUGUGGAAAGCCAGAAAGCCACCUAGCAACAACUUGGACCUGGGAAAUAUCAGGGUACUUUCUGCUAUGAUUUCUCCGAAUGUUCUACAAGUUCAAUCAAAAUCUGCUUAUAUUUUGACCACUCAACUAGUAAUGUGUUGUCCAUGUCAUCAUCAUGAGCUGCAACUUGAAAACCAGGAGGAAACAGUCCUCACAGAGGUGCAAGCAGGGCACCAACAGCACAAUCUUAACCAUGGCUGCUCAUAAUUAAGUCUACUGAGUUCAGUGCAGCUAACUCCUAGGUAAAUGGAGUUAGGAUUGCGCCAUCAUAGACUCCGCUGCCUCCAGCUACAAGAAGCGCUUCCUUUCAUGGCAUUCAUAGAAACAUAGGAUACACCCACACAAUAGAAUUAAAUCUUAUACAAAUUUUAGCCAUCAUGGAGAAUCCUGUUAAGGGAGUUGGGAACUGUAAGUUUGUGAGGUCAGCAUCCUUAGCAAAUUACAUUUCCCAGGAUUCUUUGGGGGAAAGCAAUGACUGUUAGUUGUAUAGGAGUGCCUGAAAUGUACGGUGCAAAUGUGACCACAGGAGGCUGCCUUAUAGUGCGUUUGACCAUGGGUGCUUCUAGCUUAGUAAUAGGUACUCAUUGACUGGCAGAGGCUCUCCAGGUUUUCAGAUGGAUCUCUCUCAGCUCUUAUUGAAUAUGUCAGGGAGUAAACAUGGAACCUUCUGCAAGCAAAAUAGAUGCUCUUCCACUGAGCUGUGGCUCUUCACUGGGGCUCAUCCACAGUUGCUAUGGUUUUUACUCCCCACUAUUUCCCUGACAGUGAGAAAAUGUAGAUCCCAUGAGAUAAAGAGAGCCUAGGAGCCACAUCACACAAAGAUGUUAAUAUUUGUCAAAGUACAUAUCAUCAGUGUUCCCUAGUGAACGUCCUUAUAUAAUACCCACAUCUACUCAGAGUGCACAUUUGCCUCACUAUUUGCAAACAUAUGUUUGCCUUGUUAAUGUGGUACACUUUACAUGUAAAUAUUAUUUCCACAAUCCAGAAUUAAGCAUGCUUAUUCACUGGUAAGCCAUUGAAUGGGCUGGGCACACUUGCAUUUUUGUUGGGCUGCGAUCAGUGUGUGCAGCUCUAAGUUUCCUUCUCUCUCCACAAGGAAGGGGCAAGGAAGUUGAGCCGAAUACAACUGAAAAUAAAAUAUCAGCAUUACCAAAAUUCUCCAAAUUAUCUCUAGAUUACAGGCCAACAUUUCACUGACACAUCUUUAAGUGUCCAUAGGAAAGUCAUGGGAGUUGUCUGCUGAGUAAUUUGAUAUUGACUACUGAGUGCAAACAGACAAAUUAAGUGUAGGGAAGGAGUGACAAUCAAGUUCCCAUUGGGCCUUUCCUCUUUAUGGUUUGGGUUUCCAAGCCAGCCUGGGAGUCGUUCCCAUCCAUAUGUGAACAGGCAACUCUCAGGGAGAAAGAGUCAAAGAAAGAAGGGCUAGAACAGUAUUCCUCCUUUGAUCCAUACUCUGCUUUAAUAAAGAAGCUUUGUUUGCACAUCCCACUCACAUCUUUCUUCAAAAGGGCGGUAAAGAAUCUGACACUACCUCAAAACAGAAGCCUGUUAUGUGAACAAAGUGGGAUCUUCCCUGUUACAUUUCUUCUUUAUGUGUGCUUGCUAUAAACUAGUAGAACCCACAUGCUGUUCACUGAACUAUAAUGGCGGGUCUCUGGCCUUCCAUUCCAAUAAAUAAAGGAGGCAAUAAGGCUUCUAUUGAAAGCAUCAC